GACAGAGGGGGCAGGCGUUGCUCGGAAUCACUGGGCGUAAAGGGCGCGUAGGCGGGAUGGCAAGUCGGUCGUGAAAUCCUUCGGCUCAACCGAAGAACGUCGGCCGAUACUGCCGUUCUUGAGGGAUGCAGAGGAGAUUGGAAUUCCCGGUGUAGCGGUGAAAUGUGUAGAGAUCGGGAGGAACACCGGUGGCGAAGGCGGGUCUCUGGGCAUCUCCUGACGCUGAGGCGCGAAAGCGUGGGGAGCAAACGGG
rnacentral:rRNA from 1 species